rnacentral:rRNA from 1 species
GGCGGAAACGACACUAACAAUCCUUCGGGUGCGUUAAUGGGCGUCGAGCGGCGGACGGGUGAGUAAUGCCUAGGAAAUUGCCUUGAUGUGGGGGAUAACCAUUGGAAACGAUGGCUAAUACCGCAUAAUGCCUACGGGCCAAAGAGGGGGAUCUUCGGACCUCUCGCGUCAAGAUAUGCCUAGGUGGGAUUAGCUAGUUGGUGAGGUAAUGGCUCACCAAGGCGACGAUCCCUAGCUGGUCUGAGAGGAUGAUCAGCCACACUGGAACUGAGACACGGUCCAGACUCCUACGGGAGGCAGCAGUGGGGAAUAUUGCACAAUGGGCGAAAGCCUGAUGCAGCCAUGCCGCGUGUAUGAAGAAGGCCUUCGGGUUGUAAAGUACUUUCAGUUGUGAGGAAGGGUGUGUAGUUAAUAGCUGCACAUCUUGACGUUAGCAACAGAAGAAGCACCGGCUAACUCCGUGCCAGCAGCCGCGGUAAUACGGAGGGUGCGAGCGUUAAUCGGAAUUACUGGGCGUAAAGCGCAUGCAGGUGGUUCAUUAAGUCAGAUGUGAAAGCCCGGGGCUCAACCUCGGAACUGCAUUUGAAACUGGUGAACUAGAGUGCUGUAGAGGGGGGUAGAAUUUCAGGUGUACCGGUGAAAUGCGUAGAGAUCUGA